GAUGAACGCUGACAGAAUGCUUAACACAUGCAAGUCUACUUGAACUUCGGUUUGGGUGGCGGACGGGUGAGUAACGCGUAAAGAACUUGCCUCACAGUUAGGGACAACAUUUGGAAACGAAUGCUAAUACCUGAUAUUAUGAUUUCAGGGCAUCCUAGGAUUAUGAAAGCUAUAUGUGCUGUGAGAGAGCUUUGCGUCCCAUUAGCUAGUUGGAGAGGUAACGGCUCACCAAGGCGAUGAUGGGUAGCCGGCCUGAGAGGGUGAACGGCCACAAGGGGACUGAGACACGGCCCUUACUCCUACGGGAGGCAGCAGUGGGGAAUAUUGGACAAUGGACCAAAAGUCUGAUCCAGCAAUUCUGUGUGCACGAUGACGUUUUUCGGAAUGUAAAGUGCUUUCAGUUGGGAAGAAAAAAAUGACGGUACCAACAGAAGAAGUGACGGCUAAAUACGUG
rnacentral:rRNA from 1 species